rnacentral:rRNA from 1 species
AGUGAACGCUGGCGGCAGGCCUAACAUAUGCAAGUCGAACGGCAGCACAAGAGAGCUUGCUCUCUGGGUGGCGAGUGGCGGACGGGUGAGGAAUGCAUCGGAAUCUGCCCAUUUGUGGGGGAUAACCUCGGGAAACCGGGACUAAUACCGCAUACGACCUACGGGUGAAAGCAGGGGAUCUUCGGACCUUGCGCAGAUGGAUGAGCCGAUGCCGGAUUAGCUAGUUGGAGGGGUAAAGGCCCACCAAGGCGACGAUCCGUAGCUGGUCUGAGAGGAUGAUCAGCCACACUGGGACUGAGACACGGCCCAGACUCCUACGGGAGGCAGCAGUGGGGAAUAUUGGACAAUGGGCGCAAGCCUGAUCCAGCCAUGCCGCGUGUGUGAAGAAGGCCUUCGGGUUGUAAAGCACUUUUGUUGGGAAAGAAAAGCAGCCGGUUAAUACCCGGUUGUCAUGACGGUACCCAAAGAAUAAGCACCGGCUAACUUCGUG